UACGGGGGAUGCAAGCGUUAUCCGGAAUGAUUGGGCGUAAAGCGUCCGCAGGUGGCUGUGUAAGUCUGCUGUUAAAGAGUGAGGCUCAACCUCAUAAAAGCAGUGGAAACUACACGGCUAGAGUGCGUUCGGGGCAGAGGGAAUUCCUGGUGUAGCGGUGAAAUGCGUAGAUAUCAGGAAGAACACCGGUGGCGAAAGCGCUCUGCUAGGCCGCAACUGACACUGAGGGACGAAAGCUAGGGGAGCGAAUGGG
rnacentral:rRNA from 1 species